rnacentral:rRNA from 1 species
AAUAAAAUGAAUAUCACAAUUUAAAAAAAAAAAAAGAAUUAAUGUGAAUUGCAGGACACGUUGAUCGUGGACACUUCCAACGCACUUGUGGCCCAGGUUCCUCCCGGGGCUACGUCUGUCUGAGCGUCG